rnacentral:lncRNA from 1 species
GGGCAGAAGGGGAAAAGCGUAAACCGACCUAGGAACAAGUAUAUAAGGAGUCUUAGGCGAGAGGUAUGAGAGGAACUUUUUCACAGCAAAUUUAGUACUUAGAGCAAUUAGGCAACUUUCCGUUUUUGUUAUUUCGAGCUGCGACUCAAUUUGGUUUAGCCGUCUUAGGGUUGCUAGAACUAGGAAUCUCGCCAACAGCUCUCGAGCCCAGGCUUAUACCUUGUUAUAAACGCUCAUACGCAAAUUCGGAAUAAGACUUAUUUUUGCUCUCUUUUUACGAUUUCUUAUAUUUUGUCGUUGUUGUCUCGUGUUUUGAUUGCUUGGCGUGUGAUAUUAGCAGAUAUCCGGGACCUCUGGGAAACUAGGGUUCU